UGGGGAAUAUUGGGCAAUGGGCGAAAGCCUGACCCAGCGACGCCGCGUGAGGGAAGAAGGUCUUCGGAUUGUAAACCUUUGUAGACAGGGACGAAGAAAUGACGGUACCUGUAAAGUAAGCCACGGCUAACUACGUGCCAGCAGCCGCGGUAAUACGUAGGUGGCAAGCGUUAUCCGGAUUUAUUGGGUGUAAAGGGUGAGUAGGCGGGCUGACAAGUCAGAUGUGAAAUGUUCGGGCUUAACCUGAGAACUGCAUUUGAAACUGCCAGUCUUGAGUGUCGGAGGGGUAAUCGGAAUUCCCGGUGUAGCGGUGAAAAUGCGUAGAGAUCGGGAGGA
rnacentral:rRNA from 1 species